GAUGAACGCUGGCGGCGUGCCUAAUACAUGCAAGUCGAGCGAACAGACGAGGAGCUUGCUCCUCUGACGUUAGCGGCGGACGGGUGAGUAACACGUGGAUAACCUACCUAUAAGACUGGGAUAACUUCGGGAAACCGGAUCUAAUACCGGAUAAUAUAUUGAACCGCAUGGUUCAAUAGUGAAAGACGGUUUUGCUGUCACUUAUAGAUGGAUCCGCGCCGCAUUAGCUAGUUGGUAAGGUAACGGCUUACCAAGGCAACGAUGCGUAGCCGACCUGAGAGGGUGAUCGGCCACACUGGAACUGAGACACGGUCCAGACUCCUACGGGAGGCAGCAGUAGGGAAUCUUCCGCAAUGGGCGAAAGCCUGACGGAGCAACGCCGCGUGAGUGAUGAAGGUCUUCGGAUCGUAAAACUCUGUUAUUAGGGAAGAACAAAUGUGUAAGUAACUAUGCACGUCUUGACGGUACCUAAUCAGAAAGCCACGGCUAACUACGU
rnacentral:rRNA from 1 species